AUGCUGGCUGUGUGGCCAGCAUACCUCCUGCCUUUUCAACGAUUCCUCUGCCCUGGAUAGAGAGCGGUGUCUCAUAACAGUUUGGAAACUACAAAAGUUUCCCUGGCAGGAUGAAUGAUUGACUCGGCAACAUGUUCUUGCCUUUUGGAGUUGCCCUCCAAUUUUUCCAGGCUUGAUUCUGUAAAUCAUUUCAUCUUGUAAAAAUACUGGGCUGUGAGCACGGAUGAUCUCAAAGAUGAGGAAACAGAAGCUGGGAUAUGUGAGUAAACAUUUCCAAGGUCCUGCAGCUAAUCAAUGGUUGACAACUUCUUUCCUCUGCCUAUGUUGCCAUCCAUGUCAUGGUUUGUGUCAAGACUCUAGGAGAAGUCUACCAUCAGCACCACAGCUACUGUGCACAAAUCCAGAAUGCCAGACUGAAGUCAGAAGGAAAGGCCGUCAUCUGUUCUGGUGUAAAGUGGAGGGAAGAAAACAAAGUAGGAUGGCUUGAGAUCCUUCCUGAAGAAGAAACAGGAGGAAAAUAGUCCCCAGCCUUGCUAAAGACAUUAGAAAGCAGAGCCAUACUGUGGAACAGUCACUGGAGUUAAAAUUAAAAGACUGGAAUUCCA
rnacentral:lncRNA from 1 species